GCUACACGGACCAGGCGGCUGCAGUGCUGUACUGAGGGAGACAGUGGCUUAGAAUACUGACAAAUGUGAUCACAACGUAUCUGUGAGAUACACAGGACCACAGCAGUCAGCUGACUCACCCCACAAAGGUCAAAGAACUACCGAAUGUUGCCACGCAUGAGAAUACUGACAAAUGUGAUCACAACGUAUCUGUGAGGUACACAGGACCACAGCAGUCAGCUGACUCACCCCACAAAGGUCAAAGAACUACCGAAUGUUGCCACGCAUGAGAUAACUAUUACUGCACUUCGGCCCAGAGUCAGACGCAGUGUCGAUGCUGCACACAGUUGGCUGAUGCUUUUAGUCUGCCAGCGCUAACCACGAUGACGCAAUCGCACUGACACACCUCCACCUCCACCUUCCUUGCUGCGUCAAACACCCACCCAUCCCCCCCUUUGCCGAGUCAUGCCCCCGUACCUCCCACAGCUGUAACAACCUGAGGGGGCAGCCAGAAAGUCAGUAACUUUGAUCUUGGAGACCAUUUAUCAACGAGUGAUAAAACUCAUUGUGAAGGAUAAAACUCGUUGCGUAUGAUAAAUGGUGUUUUUUCAAACACAUGACAGUUGGGAGCUGAUUGGCUGGAAAACCAUUUAUCAUACGCAAGCAGUUUUGUCGUUCACAACGAGGUUUAUCACUCGUUGAUAAAUGGGCCCCAGUUAAUUUCAGCCAUAACAUGCCGGCCUUCCCUGCAGCCUUGUGAAUUCUGAUCAUGAUGGCACCAACUUUGUACCAUGAAGCCUGAUGGAUUGAUCUGUGCAUACACUGUGUCACUGUGAGCCAUGCUGCCCCUGCGCUGUAGUGUCACCUGGAUUACAGGGGAGGGGUCUCUGUACUGCUGGAACGCUGGGUGCUAUAGGCUACUGGGAAAUUUAGGGCUAAUGGUGCGACAAAAUAAUAAAAUAAAUCCCAAGAUGUUACAAACCCAUUUUAGUAGAUUAAUCUCUGUCACCAUUCACUGCACAAAACAUAAUAAUUAUUUCCCGUUCGAGCACAGAACUUCUGACCUAAACAUUUACUCUAUCCGAGCAGGGCCGUCAAGAACUCCAAUGGGGCCCAAUACUGGGGAUAGAAGUAGAGAAGACCAUUGACCAUCGAUGGUUUGCUGUUGAUGGUCUAUGGUUUUACCAUUGAUGGGUUCAAGGCUGCACAUCGAUGGCAGGGUAUGCAAAUGCUCGGCCACAGUCUUGAGCAACCAUAAGUGGUUUCCCACAACAGUUAAAAACCAUUGACCAUCAAGGUUUACUGGAAUGUAACAAAAUCUCAUCCAGGGACAGAGGCUCCAAUAGAAGCUUGUGCCAUGGGUACAAGUGAUCACAGGGGCAGAUUGGCCAUGCGGAUCACCAGGAAGAUUCCUGGUAGGCUGGUGUGUCUGUCGGGCCUGUUUUGUGUGUUGUCAUGUGACCCCACCACCCACAUGACAGGCAGCCCAUCACACUCAGUAUACUACAUUGUCUCCAUACAUUCUGUUAUUCCAUCUCUGCACUACAGCGACUCUGCCAUCCAGUGAUGCUGCCAUGGCUACAUAGUAUGUUAUACCUCUUGUGCUGCCCUAGGGGGGUAAUUCAGACCUGAUCGCUGGGCAGCAUUUUUUGCACUGCUGCGAUUGGAUAGUCGCCGCCUAUGGGGAGAGUGUAUUUUAGCUGUGCAAGUGUGCGAUCGCAUGUGUAGCAGAGCUCUACAAACAGAUUUUGUGCAGUCUCUGCGCAGCCCAGGACUUACUCAGCCGCUGCGAUCACAUCGGGCUGUCCGGGUCCGGAAUUGACGUCAGACACCCGCCCUGCAAAUGCUUGGACACGCCUGAGUUUUUCCAGGAAGGCUUCAACUGCGUCCAAUCUGGCACUAUUAGGAAAGAUCCUGCCCCCCUCAACAGACCCCACUCCCUCAUCAGACCACGUCCCCAUUAGGGCUGCUUCUAUAAACACCCCAGGCUGGUUUUCCAUCCCGAUACGCCCCUGAUUACCAGUCCUAUUGAUCUCUCUCUAGUGUUGGUGAUCUAUACCCCAUAGGCUACAAGGCUAACGUCAUCUCCAGAUGGCAUCACAUACUAGGGCCAAUCUCUGGAAUGUGCUUGGUAAAUUGACAUUUUAACAGCCUCCACGGACGUCCCCCUAUGGUGCCUGCUUUUGUGAUUUAAAAUAUGGGAUCCAAGCAGUGUACCCCGUUAAUACAUCUGGGUAAUACUGUACUACAGAUAUGUUGGUACCCCCUAAAAAUACAGGCAAUAUUCUAUGAUAAAUAAGCCCCCCAGGACAUAUAACCAGUGUUGCUUUACAUGGUGUCGCCUGGUGACUGCGCAGUGGAACCCUGGACCACCUUCGAAGAAGAAGGAGCACAACUCCAGGAACCGGCGCCAUUUGAAGGUGAUUCCCGCAAGCAAACUCUGAAAACGGUUGUUUCUGCGUGUCUAAGUGAUGAUGAAUAGGCCCCUAAGAGAGGAAUCAAUAUGGAUUAUUAACCUUUCAACAUAUACACCAUCAGAUGUUUAUACCAAAUACUACAGUAUAUUUAUGCUACGUAUUCCUUACUUAAUUUGUUAAAAAUCAAUCCAGGAUCCAAAACACUCCUUAUAUAUAA